GAUGAACGCUGGCGGCGUGCCUAAUACAUGCAAGUCGAGCGAACAGACGAGGAGCUUGCUCCUCUGACGUUAGCGGCGGACGGGUGAGUAACACGUGGAUAACCUACCUAUAAUACUGGGAUAACUUCGGGAAACCGGAGCUAAUACCGGAUAAUAUAUUGAACCGCAUGGUUCAAUAGUGAAAGACGGUUUUGCUGUCACUUAUAGAUGGAUCCGCGCCGCAUUAGCUGGUUGGUAAGGUAACGGCUUACCAAGGCAACGAUGCGUAGCCGACCUGAGAGGGUGAUCGGCCACAUUGGAACUGAGACACGGUCCAGACUACUACGGGAGGCAGCAGUAGGGAAUCUUCCGCAAUGGGCGAAAGCCUGACGGAGCAACGCCCCGUGAGUGAUGAAGGUCUUCGGAUCGUAAAACUCUGUUAUUAGGGAAGAACAAAUGUGUAAGUAACUAUGCACGUCUUGACGGUACCUAAUCAGAAAGCCACGGCUAACUACGUG
rnacentral:rRNA from 1 species